GGCGGGGAGCGAGCACGCACAGCGUCCAACGCGCUCUCAGCGCAACGUCACCUGUGACUCGCUGCUCCGCGGUCCGGACACAGCACGUGAUCGACACACCGCCGCCAUCUUGGAGACGGAGACCGUUAGUGCUUGGAUAAGAUAUCUCACCUCCUCCGCAUACACAAAAGACCUUUCACGUUCGAUAGCCUCCUGUCCCGCAAGAUUGAGAAUAAUGUACGCUUGAGUGUGGGGUGGCUUAUCAGAGUGUGCGGCUGCAAUGAAAAUGUCAUAUUCUUGCUCAAAGAUGCGCAAUCUCUCGCCGAUGUUGCUGUCAAAGACGAGUGGAUCCUGUCUCCGGAAUGCAUCAGCCAUGUUCGAUUAGCAGACAAACUUUUCGAUCUCUCUAGUUGAGAAAUAGAGAGAGAAAAACUCAAAGCUCAAGCCGAUGAAGAACCGGAAUAAAACUUCUGACACCAUG